rfam:Felis catus isolate Cinnamon breed Abyssinian chromosome A3, whole genome shotgun sequence.
ACCUGGGUGGCUCAGUCAGUUGAGCGUCUGACUUCAGUUCAGGUCAUGAUCUCACAGUUUGUGAGUUCAAGUCCCGCAUCAGGCU